GGUUAAGCGACUAAGCGUACACGGUGGAUGCCCUGGCAGUCAGAGGCGAUGAAGGGCGUGCUAAUCUGCGAUAAGCGCCGGUAAGGUGAUAUGAACCGUUAUAACCGGCGAUACCCGAAUGGGGAAACCCAGUGUGAUUCGUCACACUAUCAUUAACUGAAUCCAUAGGUUAAUGAGGCGAACCGGGGGAACUGAAACAUCUAAGUACCCCGAGGAAA
rnacentral:rRNA from 1 species